rnacentral:rRNA from 1 species
ACGAACGCUGGCGGCGUGCCUAAUACAUGCAAGUCGAACGCACAGUUUAUACCGUAGCUUGCUACACCAUAGCCUGUGCGUUGCGAACGGGUGAGUAACGCGUAGGUAACCUGCCUGGUAGCGGGGGAUAACUAUUGGAAACGAUAGCUAAUACCGCAUAAUAUUAAUUAUUGCAUGAUAAUUAAUUGAAAGGUGCAAUUGCACCACUACCAGAUGGACCUGCGUUGUAUUAGCUAGUAGGUGAGGUAACGGCUCACCUAGGCGACGAUACAUAGCCGACCUGAGAGGGUGAUCGGCCACACUGGGACUGAGACACGGCCCAGACUCCUACGGGAGGCAGCAGUAGGGAAUCUUCGGCAAUGGACGAAAGUCUGACCGAGCAACGCCGCGGGAGUGAAGAAGGGUUUCGGAUCGUAAAGCUCUGUUGUAAGAGAAGAACGGGUGUGAGAGUGGAAAGUUCACACUGUGACGGUAUCUUACCAGAAAGGGACGGCUAACUACGUG